UACGGAGGGUGCAAGCGUUAUCCGGAUUUACUGGGCUUAAAGGGUGCGUAGGCGGGCCUUUAAGUCUGCUGUGAAAGCUCCGAGCUUAACUCGGAAACUGCCAUUGAUACUAUUGGUCUUGAAUUCGGUUGAGGUUGGCGGAAUGUGUCGUGUAGCGGUGAAAUGCUUAGAUAUGACACAGAACACCGAUUGCGAAGGCAGCUAGCUAAACCGAUAUUGACGCUGAGGCACGAAAGCGUGGGGAUCAAACAGG
rnacentral:rRNA from 1 species